rnacentral:rRNA from 1 species
UGCCUACGGGUGGCUGCAGUGAGGAAUAUUGGUCAAUGGGCGGAAGCCUGAACCAGCCAUGCCGCGUGCAGGAUGACGGCCCUACGGGUUGUAAACUGCUUUUCCCCGGGAAGAAUAAGCCCCUCGUGAGGGGUGAUGCCGGUACCGGGGGAAUAAGGAUCGGCUAACUCCGUGCCAGCAGCCGCGGUAAUACGGAGGAUCCGAGCGUUAUCCGGAUUUACUGGGUUUAAAGGGUGCGUAGGCGGGCGCCGAAGUCAGCGGUGAAAUGCAGCGGCGCAACCGUUGAACUGCCGUUGAAACUGGGCGCCUUGGAUGCGGUCGAGGCCGGCGGAAGGCGUGGUGUAGCGGUGAAAUGCUUAGAUAUCACGCAGAACGCCAAUUGCGAAGGCAGCUGGCCGGGCCGCAAUCGACGCUGAGGCACGAAAGCGUGGGGAUCAAACAGGAUUAGAUACCCUAGUAGUC